rnacentral:rRNA from 1 species
CCAGCUACCGCGGUCACACGAUUAACCCUAGCUAAUAGAGAUCGGCGUAGAGGGUGUUUAAGAUCUGACACAAUAAAGCUAAACUCCAUCUAAACUGUAAAACCCUAGCUGAUGUAAAAUAAACUACGAAAGUGGCUUUAAAACUUCUGAACACACAAUAGCCAAGACCCAAACUGGGAUUAGACACCCUACUAUGCUUGGCCCUAAACCUCAGUAGUUAAAUAACAAAACUACUCGCCAGAAUACUACAAGCAACAGCUUAAAACUCAAAGGACUUGACGGUGCUUUACACCCCCUAGAGGAGCCUGUUCCGUAAUCGAUAAACCCCGAUCCACCCCACCCUCUAUUGCUCAGCCUAUAUACCGCCAUCUUCAGCAAACCCUGAUGAAGGCCACAAAGUGAGCGCAAACGCCACCACCGCGAAGACGUUGGGUC